rnacentral:misc_RNA from 1 species
GAUGAAGAACGCAGCGAAAUGCGAUAAGUAGUGUGAAUUGCAGAAUUCAGUGAAUCAUCGAAUCUUUGAACGCACAUUGCGCCCCCUGGUAUUCCGGGGGGCAUGCCUGUCCGAGCGUCAUUACAACCCUCAAGCUCAGCUUGGUAUUGGGCCCCGCCGCUCCGGCGGGCCCUAAAGUCAGUGGCGGUGCCGUCCGGCUCCGAGCGUAGUAAUUCUUCUCGCUCUGGAGGUCCGGUCGUGUGCUCGCCAGCAACCCCCAAUUUUUUUCAGGUUGACCUCGGAUCAGGUAGGGAUACCCGCUGAACUUAAGCAUAUCAAUAAGCGGAGGA